CCUACGGGUGGCUGCAGUGAGGAAUAUUGGUCAAUGGGCGCGAGCCUGAACCAGCCAAGUAGCGUGAAGGAUGACUGCCCUACGGGUUGUAAACUUCUGUUAUAAAGGAAUAAAGUGAGGCACGUGUGCCUUUUUGUAUGUACUUUAUGAAUAAGGUUCGGCUAACUCCGUUCCAGCAGCCGCGGUAAUACGGAGGAUCCGAGUGUUAUCCGGAUUUAUUGGGUUUAAAGGGAGCGUAGAUGGGUUGUUAAGUCGGUUGUGAAAGUUUGCGGCUCAACCGUAAAAUUGCAAUUGAUACUGGCAGUCUUGAGUACAGUUGAGGUAGGCGGAAUUCGUGGUGUAGCAGUGAAAUGCUUAGAUAUCACGAAGAACUCCGAUUGCGAAGGCAGCUUCCUAAACUGCAACUGACAUUGAUGCUCGAAAGUGAGGGUAUCAAACAGGAUUAGAUACCCCUGUAGUC
rnacentral:rRNA from 1 species